rnacentral:tRNA from 1 species
GGUAAAUAGGGGUAAGUUAAUAAAGCCGGCCUCUCACGCCGGUAACGCGGGUUCGACCCCCGCUGGGAUCACCA